rnacentral:lncRNA from 1 species
UUUUUUUGGUAAUGACUAUAGAGUUUUCUUCACAUUUCACAGAUUGAAACCCUUUACUUUGAGAAUAUGGCUAAACCUGUCCAAAGAUACUGCCCAGAGCUAUUGAUUUGCUCUCUCCAAAAGGACAUUCUUGUCAUUAAAUCAUAUUUUCCUAAAGAUGGGAUGUAGCAAACCUCAUUGACUGCAGCCUAGUGCAUAGCCAGCUCCUUGAGCACAGGAAGGGACUCUCUUCCACACUGGACACAGGUGGCUCCCUCACUUGUUUCCAGAGGUCCUCUUUAGAGCUAGCACCUGUCUCCCACAAGCCCCCGCCCCCAC